rnacentral:rRNA from 1 species
UACAGAGGGGGCAAGCGUUGUUCGGAAUUACUGGGCGUAAAGGGCGCGUAGGCGGCCUGCUAAGUCGAACGUGAAAUCCCCGGGCUCAACCCGGGAACUGCGUCCGAUACUGGCAGGCUUGAAUCCGGGAGAGGGAUGCGGAAUUCCAGGUGUAGCGGUGAAAUGCGUAGAUAUCUGGAGGAACACCGGUGGCGAAGGCGCAUCCUGGACCGGCAUUGACGCUGAGGCGCGAAAGCCAGGGGAGCAAACGGG